GGCCAAUUUAACAUUGUACCAAACAUUUUUCCGGAUUUUUCAGUUCCAUAUUUUCCCGGAUUUAUUUGAAUGUUUCAAUAUCCGGUUUAGUUUGGAUUUUAUAUUUUUCGUGGGUGCACGAGCUUUAGUACAAUUUACCAGCCAUUCUUAGAUUACUAGUCACCUGUGCUGAAGACCCUAUAUUUUUUCUAUGAGAGAACUUCUAAGAUGUAAAUCACACCACACGACCACCACACAUACACAUGGAUGUUGUAUAAUUGGAUCAUGCUUUCUAGAAUUAAAUAAAGUGUGUGCAUUUACAAUG